rnacentral:rRNA from 1 species
GUCUAUGGCCAUGCCACCCUGAACAAGCUCUAUUCUAUCUGAUCUCAGAAGCUAAGCAGGGUCGGGCCUAGUUAGUACUUGGAUGGGAGACCACCUAGGAAGACCAGGUGCCGUAGGCA